rnacentral:rRNA from 1 species
GAUGAACGCUAGCUACAGGCUUAACACAUGCAAGUCGAGGGACCGGAGCACGGGUGUGUAACACGUAUCCAACCUGCCCUUUACUCGGGGAUAGCCUUUCGAAAGAACGAUUAAUACCCGAUGUAAAGGAUUGGGAUGCGUUCCAUUAGGUUGUUGGUGAGUUAACGGCUCACCAAGCCAUCGAUGGAUAGGGGUUCUGAGAGGAAGGUCCCCCACAUUGGAACUGAGACACGAUCCAAACUCCUACGGGCGGCAGCAGUGAGGAAUAAUGGUAAAUGGGCGUUAGCCUGAAACAGCCAAGUAGCGUGGAGGAUGAAGGCUUAUGGGUCGUAAACUUCUUUUAUAUAAGAAUAGGUAUUAUAUGAAUAAGGAACGGCUAACUCCGUGCCAGCAGCCGCGGUAAUUC